rnacentral:rRNA from 1 species
ACGGGGCGCAGCAGUGAGGAAUAUUGGUCAAUGGCCGAGAGGCUGAACCAGCCAAGUCGCGUGAGGGAUAACGGCCCUACGGGUUGUAAACCUCUUUUGUCGGGGAGCAAAGAGAGUCACGUGUGACUCAUUGAGAGUACCCGAAGAAAAAGCAUCGGCUAACUCCGUGCCAGCAGCCGCGGUAAUACGGAGGAUGCGAGCGUUAUCCGGAUUUAUUGGGUUUAAAGGGUGCGCAGGCGGAGGUGCAAGUCAGCGGUCAAAUUGCGGGGCUCAACCCCGUACUGCCGUUGAAACUGCAUCCCUUG